CAUGCAAAUGACCUGUGGGGUGCACGCGCUUUGCACUUUACAGGUGACUGGAAUUUAUCAACAUGCGCACGUGCGUACGAAAUAAGUCAGUGUUACCAAAAGCUUUGUAAAUCCGGUGAGAAUGUUUAGGUGAACCUGGCCGAAAACAUUUACACCCGACUUUCCUGAAAGCUUGAUAAAUGAGGCCGCAUGUCCUGCUGUGACUUAUGGAGACGGAGUUUGUGUGCUGGGCGUCGCAUUCAACCAGGCCGCAUUUCAGUUAAGAGUGUACUUGUUUUCGUUAAUCCGGACAGGCUGCACCUGUGAAGGAUAAGUUUCUGUCUGUUUGCCUCUGCUCGACAACAGUGAGUGACCUGAACUCAGUGGCACAACAGAAAUCAGUUAAAUGGACACGAAAACACGCCAAGACAUUUAUUGAAGCAUGAUGGCUGCUAUCUGUGUGAAGCUAGAUGUGCUACUGGAAAGAAGCUCUGAAAAGCUGGGUCAAGACCUCCAAGAUCACACCUCCCACUGAGACUGCAAUGAGGGGGCGAGUUGUUCACAUUCACACAGGAUAAAAGGCCAGAGUGGGACAGUAGGAGAGAGUUUAGGAGUGCAGUGCUGGUGAGACAGUGUUUUUCACUUGCAUUGGCUGUGAUAAGACUGAUCAUCCUGAUUGCUGGAGGAGACUGUGAUGGUGGUGAUAGGAACAUCCGCAUGAUGUGCAGUUAUAGCCUGUGUCUGUGAGAGUCUGAGU